UAGGGAAUCUUCCGCAAUGGACGAAAGUCUGACGGAGCAACGCCGCGUGAGUGAUGAAGGUUUUCGGAUCGUAAAGCUCUGUUGUUAGGGAAGAACAAGUACCGUUCGAAUAGGGCGGUACCUUGACGGUACCUAACCAGAAAGCCACGGCUAACUACGUGCCAGCAGCCGCGGUAAUACGUAGGUGGCAAGCGUUGUCCGGAAUUAUUGGGCGUAAAGGGCUCGCAGGCGGUUUCUUAAGUCUGAUGUGAAAGCCCCCGGCUCAACCGGGGAGGGUCAUUGGAAACUGGGGAACUUGAGUGCAGAAGAGGAGAGUUGAAUUCCACGUGUAGCGGUGAAAUGCGUAGAGAUGUGGCGGAACCCGAGUGGUGAAGGCGACUCUCUGGUCUGUAACUUACACUGAGGCGCGACAGCGUGCGGAGCAAACA
rnacentral:rRNA from 1 species